CCUCGGCUAGCGUGUCGCGUGCGUAACCAGGGGGGCGACCUUAGCGAGGCGGGCCGGGACGCGGAUUCCUCGCUCCGCGGUGCCUGGGCGCCCGCCGCAACCUCCAGACCCGCCAAGCCCCGGCCGGCACGAGCCGUUCCGCGAGCAGGGACAGCGACGAGGAUCAAAUGGACCUUUUAUGCCUCUGAAUGUUGCAGGAGAGGGAUGGACAUUGCAGAGCACAUGAGUUCGAGAAAGCUCAGGACUGGGGGAAGUUGCCAUCCUGCCGCCUGAUUCUAUUGUACAAGCCCAAAUGUCUAAUGAGCACAAGACACCGAAGGAGGGACAGAAGCCUGGUGUAAAGGGGAGGACCGUGUUUUACCACUGGGAAGAAAGAGAGUGGUUGGGAACCCAGGUGCUCACCUCCCCAGAAUCAUUCCUCUGCUGGAAAUCCCCAUCAUACACAACCUGUACAGGAGAAUGGUCCAAGGAGGUAUCACCAAUGUAACUCCACUGAGCACAUGAGAAAUAAGUGCCCUAAGAUAAACUCAGCUCACACCCCAUCCAACGCAAGUUAAUGCAACUUUCAUUAACAUAGAGGAACAUGUGGGGCCACUGAUUAAUUUUGUGAGGCCUGAGCCUAAGGAAGUGGACCUGGAGUUUAUCAAGGUUGCCAAUAUAUAUUGCAAGGAAUGGGUAGCCUCAAGGGACAUUGGAGUACAAAUUUUUCAGGUCAAGGAAAGCGUAUUCAGAAAAACUGGCAAGUUACCUGACCAGAAGGUAGAGCUCCUGGCAUUAGAGAAAUAUUAAAUAGCUGUACCUCUGGCUAAGGUGCAUUUCCAAUUAGGAGGCUUGAAAGGUACCUUGAAAGUUGCGAUAUUAAACAGCACUUCCACAGCAAUGCUGGUGGGAAAUUAUAUUUUUAGUAUGUUCACAGCUGUUAAUAUUGUAACCCAUAGAAGAGAAUUGUGCAGACAAAGGAGCAGCUGUGGGAGAAGGGGACAGCCCCAGCUGAGCAAGAGGAAGCAAAGUGCUUUCAGAUAUGGGAGGGAUUGAAGCCAGCUCCUGCAUAGCAAAGGAAAGUAGAAUCCUCUGAGACUGGGGGAGGGGGAAUUAACCCCUGCUACUGAAGAAUCUGUCCCAGUUGUCAGCUGCUAGCAUUUUGCAGAUGAACCAAGGGUAGCCUGCACUCUAGAGUGCAUAUGGGGAUAUGUGCUGAAGGGAACCCCAGUGAGGAGAAAUGGAGAAAGUACAAGUAAGCUCAUGGGGAAAAGUGUAAUCCCUGGGAAACCUUAGAAGUGGCUGAUUGUGCCUGCCCAGCACUGUGGGGAAUUAAUUUUGUUAACACAUGAUUUUCCUUUUACUGGUCACUUAGAGCCACGAAAAUCUAUGAGCCGUUUAAAAAAAAAAUUACUGGCCAGAGUACAAAAUGAGGGGAGAGAUUAUUGCAGGUCUUGUGAAUUAUGUCAAAAAAGACCUGCAGGACUGCAGAAAGUUCCUCUUUGCCCUUUGCCUGUAAUACUAGAGGUGUUUUAUAGGGUAGCAAUGGGCGUUGUGGGUCCUAUGCUACACCCCACCCAAAGGGGGAAGAAAUAUAUCCAAGUGGUAGUGGAUUUUGCCAUCGAUAUCCGAAAGCAGUUGCUCUAUUGACAAAGCCUGUUUCUGUGGCAAAAAGCCCUUUUCAUUAUUUUUAGCAGAGUGUGUUUUCUUAAAAAUAUUUUAUCAGAUCAUUAGUCAGAUUUCAUGUCUCAGCUGUUCAGUGACUUAUGGAAGUUGUGUGUGGGAUAAAACAACUAAAAGCUGCCCCAUAUUACCUAGAGACAAAUGGUGUGGUGGAGAGGUUCAGUGGGACACUGAAAUCAAAUCUGAGGAUGCAUGCCCGCAGGUGGGACUAAGAUUAGGAUGAAAUGUUACACUAUUUGUUGUUAAUAAGGAAGUGCCACAAGAAUCUACAGUUUGGCCCAUUUGAUCUUCUAUACGGAGGGAAAGUGAGGGGACUCCUAGCUCUUAUCAGAGACUUCUGGGAAGGAGAUACUGAGACAGAAAGGUAGCCUAUAACUGAAUAUGUACAAAGGUUCAAGCAAGAGUUAAAGGACAUGCUGGAAGUGGUUCAGAGUCACCUUUUGUUUGGCCUGACUGUCCCUGUGGUAUGGCAUGACCAAUAUAUUUGUAAAUGCUCUUUGAAGUAGGAGACUGAGAGUUGCUACUUAUCCCUGUGGAAAAAAAUGCAAAACUCGUGAAAGGGACCUUUUGAAAUGAUAGAAGAGGUAACUGAAUGUACAUACAUGCAAAAGACCUCACAGUAAUGCUGCCACACAGCUGGUGCAUAUAAACAGAUUUAAAGUUGAUCACAAGAGAGAAGCCAUGAUAAACAUAAUCUGUUGUUUAGAGGGGGAAACUGAGGAAACCUCAUUGAUUUGAUGGCUGAAUGCCAAACUGGCUCAUCUCUGGAAAGCCUCAAUAACUACAGUGAGUUACUAUAAGUUGAGAAGGCAGAGGUGUUAUCUGUACUUCAAGCACACAGACAAGUGUUUUCUAACAAGCCAGGGAAGACUCAUUUGCUGACUCAUAAGAUCGUUACUGUAGGAUCACAGCCACUUCCCAGCAGGGCGUACUGUACCACUGGCAAGGUACAAGAGCAAACUUGCACAGAGAUGCAGAGCAUGCUGGACCUGGGAGUGAUUACAGAGUCUGACUGCUCUUGGGCAUCACCUGUGGUCUUUGUUACUAAGACAGACAACACUGUAAGGUUUUGGGUUGAGUAUAGGAAACUCAGUGCUGUCAUGGUGCCAGAUGCUUAUUCUAUGCCUAGAAUUGAUGAUAUGCUGGAUAUCUUAAGAAAAGCUAACUAUAUCAGUUUUUUUUAUUUAAAGGAUGCUGGAAAAUUCUUCAGAUAAUGCUCAGAAAAAAAUCUGCUUUUAUUAGUGAUGUGGGACUGUAUGAGUUUUAAAUGGAUUACAGGACUUCGCAAAGGCCUGUGUCCACAAUAUAGCGGUGACAAAACCUCUCACUGAUCUGAAUUGCACCCAAAGUGUGACAACAGACAAUCCUUAAAGGAAAACCCUCUUUCAUCAGAGCCUUCUAGAUCUGUGCAAAAAUAAAAUCAUCUCCCAACAGUUUGGUAAUGUGUGAACAACAUAUGGGUUAUUUUAAUGCACUGUUUUAUAGUUCAGAACUUCUUUUUUUAUUCUAUUAGGUUUUUUUUUAAAGUAUGACAUUUCCUACUUAUUAAAGAUGUAAUUUUGUCUUCUAAAAUACGCGUGCUUAGCUGGGGAAAUUCAGUUCAGCUGGGCUUGUUGAGAGGUAUCUAAGCUGUCUUCCUGUGGUAUAGAUUUGAUAUGCUCCCUUCCCUUGUGGGCUUUGCUGUGGAUUUUAAAAUUAUUUUCACAAUAAAAAUAUACAAAAUC